CGGAACUUGCCAGAGAUGGCUUGGUGCUCGAAAGAGAGCCGUAACACAGGUGCUGCAUGGCUGUCGUCAGCUCGUGUCGUGAGAUGUUGGGUUAAGUCCCGCAACGAGCGCAACCCUUGUCAUUAGUUGCUACGAAAGGGCACUCUAAUGAGACUGCCGGUGACAAACCGGAGGAAGGUGGGGAUGACGUCAAGUCCUCAUGGCCCUUAUGGGUAGGGCUACACACGUCAUACAAUGGCCGGUACAAAGGGCAGCCAACCCGCGAGGGGGAGCCAAUCCCGUAAAGCCGGUCGUAGUCUGGAUCGCAGUCUGCAACUCGACUGCGUGAAGUCGGAAUCGCUAGUAAUCGUGGAUCAGCAUGUCACGGUGAAUACGUUCCCGGGUCUU
rnacentral:rRNA from 1 species